UCUCAUUCUAUAUCACUGAGAGAGAAGUUACAUAAAAACAGAGAGAGAAUGUACUCGGAUAUGUUUCCAGACGCAGUCUUAAUCGCGUGCGAAUAAUUUUACUCGAUUCUCGUGUUUUAUCAAAAUCGUCGAAAAUGUGAUAAAUAAAAUCCAGUAUCGCGAACGAAAAAAAAAAAACGCGCGAGUGCAGUGUUUCCAUCGAAGCUUCUACAAGGAGGAAAAAUAGCCGAAGAAUCUGGAGUACGCUUAAACCGUAGAAGAAAAAUAAUCGAAAUAUCACUAUUGCUGAUGAUUUUAACAACUUUAGGAGGAGAAGAAGGAAGGAAGUUUGGGAAGAACAUCAGGCACCAGCGGAGCAACCCUGAGAACAACGUAGCUUCGUAGUAAACUCCGCUGCUGCGCAUCGGUUGGUUAGUGCUGGAUAUUUUAUAUUGUGAGAUAACGGUUUCAUAGAUAUUUGAUUGUAUAGAGACAUAGAGUGCAGAUUGUAGAUUGUAGAAUGUAGAGUGUUGAUUGUAGAUUGUAGAUUAUCUCAUGAAGAGCGGAUAACAGAUGAUUGUGAUUAAUCAUCGUACAAAGGAAACUUUAUUUGAUCAAAUCAUUGCGAAUUGGUUAUCGAACACAGCAAUUGCGCGAUUAUUUUCCAUUAAAUUCAUUGUUGAUAAUUUAUUUAUUUAUUAAUGAUUUAUCUUUUUAUUCAAUUAUUAAAUUACUCUAUAGUAAAUAAGA